rnacentral:rRNA from 1 species
CACGUAGGGGGCUAGCGUUGUCCGGAAUCAUUGGGCGUAAAGCGCGUGUAGGCGGUCCGGUAAGUCCGCUGUGAAAGUCGGGGGCUCAACCCUCGAAUGCCGGUGGAUACUGUCGGGCUAGAGUGCGGAAGAGGCGAGUGGAAUUCCUGGUGUAGCGGUGAAAUGCGCAGAUAUCAGGAGGAACACCUAUUGCGAAGGCAGCUCGCUGGGACGUAACUGACGCUGAGACGCGAAAGCGUGGGGAGCAAACAGG